rnacentral:rRNA from 1 species
AACGUAGGUGGCGAGCGUUAUCCGGAUUUACUGGGCGUAAAGGGUGUGCAGGCGGGUCAUUAAGUGGUGUAUGAAAUCGCCCGGCUCAACCGGGCGAGGUUAUGCCAGACUGGUGGUCUAGAGAGCGAGAGAGGGACGUGGAAUUCCGGGUGUAGUGGUGAAAUGCGUAGAGAUCCGGAGGAACCCCAGAGGCGAAGGCGGCGUCCUGGCUCGCAUCUGACGCUCAGACACGACAGCAUGGGGGAGCGAACGGG